rnacentral:rRNA from 1 species
UACGGGGGGUGCAAGCGUUGUUCGGAAUCAUUGGGCGUAAAGAGCGUGUAGGCGGUUGGACAAGUCAGAUGUGAAAGCCCGGGGCUUAACCCCGGAAGGGCAUCCGAAACUGUCGAGCUUGAGUACGGGAGAGGGAAGCGGAAUUCCUGGUGUAGAGGUGAAAUUCGUAGAUAUCAGGAGGAACACCGGUGGCGAAGGCGGCUUCCUGGACCGAUACUGACGCUGAGACGCGAAAGCGUGGGGAGCAAACAGGAUUAGAUACCCGGGUAGUCC